rnacentral:tRNA from 1 species
GGAGCUGUAGUUAAGCUGGUUAUAACGCCGGCCUGUCACGCCGGAGGCCGCCGGUUCGAGUCCGGUCAGCUCCGCCA